GAUGAACGCUGGCGGCGUGCCUAAUACAUGCAAGUCGAGCGAACAGACGAGGAGCUUGCUCCUUUGACGUUAGCGGCGGACGGGUGAGUAACACGUGGGUAACCUACCUAUAAGACUGGGAUAACUUCGGGAAACCGGAGCUAAUACCGGAUAAUAUUUCGAACCGCAUGGUUCGAUAGUGAAAGAUGGCUUUGCUAUCACUUAUAGAUGGACCUGCGCCGUAUUAGCUAGUUGGUAAGGUAACGGCUUACCAAGGCAACGAUACGUAGCCGACCUGAGAGGGUGAUCGGCCACACUGGAACUGAGACACGGUCCAGACUCCUACGGGAGGCAGCAGUAGGGAAUCUUCCGCAAUGGGCGAAAGCCUGACGGAGCAACGCCGCGUGAGUGAUGAAGGUCUUCGGAUCGUAAAACUCUGUUAUUAGGGAAGAACAAACGUGUAAGUAACUGUGCACGUCUUGACGGUACCUAAUCAGAAAGCCACGGCUAACUACGUGCCAGCAGCCGCGGUAAUACGUANGUGGCAAGCGUUAUCCGGAAUUAUUGGGCGUNAAGCGCGCGUAGGCGGUUUUUUAAGUCUGAUGUGAAAGCCCACGGCUCAACCGUGGAGGGUCAUUGGAAACUGGAAAACUUGAGUGCAGAAGAGGAAAGUGGAAUUCCAUGUGUAGCGGUGAAAUGCGCAGAGAUAUGGAGGAACACCAGUGGCGAAGGCGACUUUCUGGUCUGUAACUGACGCUGAUGUGCGAAAGCGUGGGGAUCAAACAGGAUUAGAUACCCUGGUAGUCCACGCCGUAAACGAUGAGUGCUAAGUGUUAGGGGGUUUCCGCCCCUUAGUGCUGCAGCUAACGCAUUAAGCACUCCGCCUGGGGAGUACGACCGCAAGGUUGAAACUCAAAGGAAUUGACGGGGACCCGCACAAGCGGUGGAGCAUGUGAUCUAAUUCGAAGCAACGCGAAGAACCUUACCAAAUCUUGACAUCCUUUGACCCUUCUAGAGAUAGAAGUUUCCCCUUCGGGGGACAAAGUGACAGGUGGUGCAUGGUUGUCGUCAGCUCGUGUCGUGAGAUGUUGGGUUAAGUCCCGCAACGAGCGCAACCCUUAAGCUUAGUUGCCAUCAUUAAGUUGGGCACUCUAAGUUGACUGCCGGUGACAAACCGGAGGAAGGUGGGGAUGACGUCAAAUCAUCAUGCCCCUUAUGAUUUGGGCUACACACGUGCUACAAUGGACAAUACAAAGGGCAGCGAAACCGCGAGGUCAAGCAAAUCCCAUAAAGUUGUUCUCAGUUCGGAUUGUAGUCUGCAACUCGACUACAUGAAGCUGGAAUCGCUAGUAAUCGUAGAUCAGCAUGCUACGGUGAAUACGUUCCCGGGUCU
rnacentral:rRNA from 1 species